rnacentral:rRNA from 1 species
CGAAAGCCUGACGGAGCAACGCCGCGUGGGGGAAGAAGGUUCUUGGAUUGUAAACCCCUUUUCUCAGGGAAGAAGUUCUGACGGUACCUGAGGAAUCAGCCUCGGCUAACUCCGUGCCAGCAGCCGCGGUAAUACGGAGGAGGCAAGCGUUAUCCGGAAUUACUGGGCGUAAAGCGUUCGUAGGGGGCUCGUCAAGUCUGCUGUCAAAGCUCGGAGCUAAACUCCGGUAGAGCAGUGGAAACUGGUGCGCUAGAGGGCGACGGGGGUAGAGGGAAUUCCCAGUGUAGCGGUGAAAUGCGUAGAGAUUGGGAAGAACACCGGUGGCGAAAGCGCUCUACUGGGUCGCACCUGACCCUCAGGGACGAAAGCUAAGGUAGCG